GUGAGUGGCGAACUGGUGAGUAACACGUGGGAAACCUGCCCAGAAGCGGGGGAUAACACCUGGAAACAGAUGCUAAUACCGCAUAACAACUUGGACCGCAUGGUCCGAGUUUGAAAGAUGGCUUCGGCUAUCACUUUUGGAUGGUCCCGCGGCGUAUUAGCUAGAUGGUGGGGUAACGGCUCACCAUGGCAAUGAUACGUAGCCGACCUGAGAGGGUAAUCGGCCACAUUGGGACUGAGACACGGCCCAAACUCCUACGGGAGGCAGCAGUAGGGAAUCUUCCACAAUGGACGAAAGUCUGAUGGAGCAACGCCGCGUGAGUGAAGAAGGGUUUCGGCUCGUAAAACUCUGUUGUUAAAGAAGAACAUAUCUGAGAGUAACUGUUCAGGUAUUGACGGUAUUUAACCAGAAAGCCACGGCUAACUACGUGCCAGCAGCCGCGGUAAUACGUAGGUGGCAAGCGUUGUCCGGAUUUAUUGGGCGUAAAGCGAGCGCAGGCGGUUUUUUAAGUCUGAUGUGAAAGCCUUCGGCUCAACCGAAGAAGUGCAUCGGAAACUGGGAAACUUGAGUGCAGAAGAGGACAGUGGAACUCCAUGUGUAGCGGUGAAAUGCGUAGAAAACUGGGAAACUUGAGUGCAGAAGAGGACAGUGGAACUCCAUGUGUAGCGGUGAAAUGCGUAGAUAUAUGGAAGAACACCAGUGGCGAAGGCGGCUGUCUGGUCUGUAACUGACGCUGAGGCUCGAAAGUAUGGGUAGCAAACAGGAUUAGAUACCCUGGUAGUCCAUACCGUAAACGAUGAAUGCUAAGUGUUGGAGGGUUUCCGCCCUUCAGUGCUGCAGCUAACGCAUUAAGCAUUCCGCCUGGGGAGUACGGCCGCAAGGCUGAAACUCAAAGGAAUUGACGGGGGCCCGCACAAGCGGUGGAGCAUGUGGUUUAAUUCGAAGCUACGCGAAGAACCUUACCAGGUCUUGACAUACUAUGCAAAUCUAAGAGAUUAGACGUUCCCUUCGGGGACAUGGAUACAGGUGGUGCAUGGUUGUCGUCAGCUCGUGUCGUGAGAUGUUGGGUUAAGUCCCGCAACGAGCGCAACCCUUAUUAUCAGUUGCCAGCAUUAAGUUGGGCACUCUGGUGAGACUGCCGGUGACAAACCGGAGGAAGGUGGGGAUGACGUCAAAUCAUCAUGCCCCUUAUGACCUGGGCUACACACGUGCUACAAUGGAUGGUACAACGAGUUGCGAACUCGCGAGAGUAAGCUAAUCUCUUAAAGCCAUUCUCAGUUCGGAUUGUAGGCUGCAACUCGCCUACAUGAAGUCGGAAUCGCUAGUAAUCGCGGAUCAGCAUGCCGCGGUGAAUACGUUCCCGGGCCUUGUACACACCGCCCGUCACACCAU
rnacentral:rRNA from 1 species